UGAAUAAUGUAGGGUAUGUAAAAAUUAUAUUAAGUAGCAUUGUUUAAAGUGGCUAGUGAUAUAUUUUACAUCAAUUCCCAUUGUUAAAGUGGCUGGAGUUGAGUCAGUUUGUUGGCAGCAGCCACUCAAUGUUAGUGGUGGCUGUUUAACAGUCUGAUGGCCUUGAGAUAGAAGCUGUUUUUCAGUCUCUCGGUCCCAGCUUUGAUGCACCUGUACUGACCUCGCCUUCUGGAUGAUAGCGGGGUGAACUCGCCUUCCUGUACUAUCAGUAAUAGUGGUGGAGGUCCUGAAGUGUCUCUUAUAUACUGUAUCUCCCACCAUCUCUCCAUGUCAAUGCAAACCCUCCCUUUGAUUCCCUACUUAAACAGUGUCUGUCUGUCCUUAGAGGCCUCUAUGAGAACUGGAGAGAAGAGCAGCUCUCACUAAGCUCAGCAUCAACACAAGCCAUGUUCCCUGCAUCUCUGCUGCUGCUGCUGGCAGCUGUAUCCUGUGUCUGCUGUGGUAUUGAACUCAUCCAUUCUGGUCCAGUGGUUAGAAAACGAGGACAGUCUUUCAGCAUCUUCUGCAAAUUCUCUAGGUUUUGUAAAUAUUAUUACUGCCCUCGCUGGAUAUGACAAGCUGAAGGAAAAGCUUUGGAGUAUGUUGGUUAUACAUGUAUUAGUAGUACUUCUACUGUAGACUCACUGAAGAUCCCUUCUAGUUAUGGCAGCUCUAGCAGUACAGUGUUUGUAUAAUAGGACUCCUUAAAUGAAAUACAACAGAGAUGCUUUACCACAUCAAAUUUGUAAAUGAAUACAAGCCCAUCAUUGGUGGUGCUGGAAAUGUAUAUCUGAGUUGUUUGUCUAUUAUACUCCUGAUAUGACUUGAUGGUAUUCUAAUUGAUGUCUAUCAAACGUUCAAUGAACUUAUUCAUGAUCCAACACUUUAAUGUUUUAAUCAUUCACAUGAUGAAGGUGGCCAGUACCGAACAAGAAGAUCUAAGCUCUAUAGUAUCAACAAGACACAUAAUUAAGUGUUAUGAUAUAAAUACAAAUAUAUGCACCAAUAUAAAGACUGGGGACAAUUCACACUAUUGAGUUGUGAUACAAAAAAUAUUAGCAGAGUGUAAAGCUCAUUGUAUCACAGUCCUGUCUAACAUUAUCCUCCAGUAUAAGUCUUAUUACAUGGAGAACACACUAGAGUAUUUAUAGCUUGCACAGUUAUUACAUAUUGUUUCCCUACUGAUAUUUCCAUUAAUAAUAUAUAUCCUCUCCUUAUGCAAAUUUCACUGAGCCCCUCUUCCUUUCUCUCCCUCUCCCUCCUCCUUAUAUAAAAACCUCUGUAUUUGAGAGUCCUAGUACGUCCUUCUGAGUCCUGGAGAGUAGAGAAGAGCAGCUCCCACCUGUUGAACUUCAAUGCAAACCAUGUUCCCUGCAUCUCUACUGCUGAUGCUGGCAGCUGUAUCCUGUGUCCACUGUCAGGUCGUACUCACACAGGCUGAACAGUCAGUCCAGGGGACCCCUGCAGGAUCCCUCAAACUCACUUGUGCCUGUAGUGGAUUUACUCUCAGCAGCACUAAUAUGUACUGGAUCCGCCAGGCACCUGGAAAAGGAC